rnacentral:lncRNA from 1 species
GCAAUAUAAGUUGAGAUAAAUGUUCCAAUUUCUGUAUUAUAAACACAAUACUAUAACUAAAAUUACAAUAUACAUGCACAGUAGUCAGUAUUAUGUAUCUCACCGAAAUGUGGGAACCAUCAAAAGAUUCGUACAUAUAUGCCAUAUGCUCCGAAAGUUUACAAUUCUAAUUUUAAAGAGCAAUCAACUUGUGAUAGCAAUAGCAGGCGCGGUUGUUAACAUGAACGCAAUACGAAUAAUUUCUACCACAGUUCGGUGAGAUGUGAGACAAUACACACAUUCCAUCAAUAACAUUAACUUGGGUUAGCAUAUGUCAACAUAACUCUCAAAAAGUGUAAAAUUACUGUAGUACUAAUACUCAUGAGUCAUGACAAGUCAUUGAAGAGGGCUGUGACCCUCACUGGCAGUUGUAUAUGCCAUUUUCUGUCUUGCCCAUGCACUACUAUAGUCUGCAAGGCAGACAAGAUGCUCUUCGUGUGGCAGUACUCAAUAUUGAAGAUGUAAAAACUUGCCAAUAAGGCAAUAAUUGCAUCAAAACAACUGUUGCUUGUUAUGGAACUUUCAUCCUUUCCCUCGAUAACGUAUGAUUGACAGUUUCUAGUCGUAUUCUAGUAAGUUCGAUGCCAACGACCACAAUAUGGGUUGUGACAAGUUUGAAAUUGUAUCAUUUACAUCUUCAGACUCCUACAAAAAAAAACCCAAUUAGAAUGUAUGCAAUAAUCCGCAAUUACAGGGGGUUAUAGGACACAUAAGAUAUAAGGUCUCACCAAGAAACCCAAUAAUAAAGCUCUUACAUACAUCAGACACAAAAUACCUGAAAAAGUAUAUCUCACCCGACCCCUAUAACUCUUCCAAAAGCAUUAAGUAUAAAGCAUUAAGUGGAAUUAAUAUUAGAAUCAUGAUGAAGUCCACCUUAUCACAACCUGCACACCCGAUUACCUAUAUAUACAUGAACUUACGGUUACACAGGGUUCGAAUUAAUUCUGAAAAAAUGGUUCGUGAAUUAAUUUUUUUAUUCUAAGGAA